AUCACAGCCAUUCAGUGUGGCUACUGCGAGGCGCUGCUGGCCUUCACACUCCAUCCCUUGCGCCCUCCUGUCAUUACAUCGCCUUUCCAGCGAAGGCAUUACUGCGAUGGUUAUGCGGCUUUUGAGGGGAGUAGCAGCCGCCCAUCGCUGGGAAGGACGCGCCUCACCCUGGCGGCCCUGCUCGGUCCCUUCCACGACUCGCAGGGAGAGAGAGAGGUCGAGGUGCGGCGGUCUCGUGGCGGAAGCCUGAAGGAGGCGGUGAAGGAGUGAAGGUGUGAAGUGUGCAGCUUCCACUUCAUCAUCCCAUGAACAGCCCACAGGAAUCUCUACCAGCACCUGGUUAUUAAACAGUGUUGUCACGCCAGGCCCAAUGUACUCCAUUGCAAUCAGGGAGUCGAGCUUCACCAGGAAAAGAGGCAGAGCGUCACCACCUUCAAGCCCCACAAGAGAUAUUAAGUAUCGUUGGGACAAAGCAAUCAGGGAAGAGUCAAGUUGCAGUAAGAAGAGUGUGUCAAGAAUUUCAAGCAGGAAGAACACGUAAAAUUCCCUUCAAGUCAUGGCGGGACCGACAGGCAACCUUCAACACUUGUGGAGGCACGAGAGCUGCAGGCAGUUUCACAAAGAAGAGGUUGCUCCUCACUCAAGUUGACGCAAGGACACAAGAAUUGGCAAGUGUUGUUGCUCCCAGGCCCUGCUGCAAGAGUUCUCCAGUCCACUCCAGUCUGGGAAGGAAGAAUGUAGCAAGUCCUUCUCUUCUGUACUCAACAACCACCACCACCACCUUCAUUCAAGCUUGGGAUAAGUUUUGUACAUUCCAGCACUUCAGUAAUAAGGAAAAAAAAGUGCCAUGUUUAUAUUAUUGUUGUGUAUUUAUUCACUUAACAUUCACAUUAAAACAAUAAACAUUCAGUAUACCAUCUUGAACAUAA